UGACAGCUGUUAGCUAACUUCAGGAUCAUUCUUAAGACAUGUAAUUUCAUUACAACACCCAGUAUAUUCACAAGUAGAAAUCAGCUGAUAUCUGGAAAAUCCACCUGCCCGCUGGUGUUGUGUUUUGAUUUAUUGUUAUGACUAUCUUGUACUAUAAAAUGAAAUACAAUUAGAAAAUACAGGGAGGAGUGUUAUCCUGACAAGCCAAAGUCACGCGGAUUGACUGUAAAUCGAUAAAUAAAUAAAAUAUCUGGUAUACUUGGUGCAUCAGCAUACAAAUGGAAGCCAGGGAAGAAGCUAGCUUGAGAUCUUGGGUGAUGUCUGGAACGAUGGAAAUUUUAGCGACCGAGAGAAGGGCUUCGUCGGGCCACUUGGUGAACCAGUCGAUCGUGCAGCAAUUGACCAAUGAAGGAAACAUGCGACAGCGACGUCUUAGAUAUUUCAUCAGCGAAACCCACCGAAAUGCGUCACCAGCAGGACUCAUGCAAAGCACGAUGUGGAGAUGAAUCCUCACCCGGCUAACAAACAG